rnacentral:rRNA from 1 species
CCUACGGGGGGCUGCAGUCGAGAAUCAUUCACAAUGGGGGAAACCCUGAUGGUGCGACGCCGCGUGGGGGAAUGAAGUUCUUCGGAUUGUAAACCCCUGUCAUGUGGGAGCAAAUUAAAAAGAUAGUACCACAACAGGAAGAGACGGCCAACUCUGUGCCAGCAGCCGCGGUAAUACAGAGGUCUCAAGCGUUGUUCGGAAUCACUGGGCGUAAAGCGUGCGUAGGCUGUUUCGUAAGUCGUGUGUGAAAGGCGCGGGCUCAACCCGCGGACGGCACAUGAUACUGCGAGACUAGAGUAAGGGAGGGGGAACCGGAAUUCUCGGUGUAGCAGUGAAAUGCGUAGAUAUCGAGAGGAACACUCGUGGUGAAGGCGGGUUCCUGGACAUUAACUGACGCUGAGGCACGAAGGCCAGGGGAGCGAAAGGGAUUAGAUACCCUUGUAGUC